ACGGGAGGCAGCAGUGAGGAAUAUUGGUCAAUGGAGGCAACUCUGAACCAGCCAUCUCGCGUGAAGGAAUACGGCCCUACGGGUCUUAAACUUCUUUUAUAGGGGGAUAAAGUGAGGCAUGCAUGCCUUUUUGUAGGUACCCUAUGAAUAAGCAUCGGCUAACUCCGUGCCAGCAGCCGCGGUAAUACGGAGGAUGCGAGCGUUAUCCGGAUUUAUUGGGUUUAAAGGGUGCGUAGGCGGAUGAUUAAGUCUGUGGUGAAAGCGUGCGGCUCAACCGUACCGAGCCAUGGAAACUGGUUGUCUUGAGUGUAAACGAGGUAGGCGGAAUGUGACAUGUAGCGGUGAAAUGCUUAGAUAUGUCACAGAACUCCGAUUGCGAAGGCAGCUUACCAGCAUACAACUGACGCUGAGGCACGAAAGCGUGGGUAUCAAACAGGAUUAGAUACCCUGGUA
rnacentral:rRNA from 1 species